AGAUUAAGUUAUUAAGGGCGCACGGUGGAUGCCUUGGCACUAGAAGCCGAUGAAGGACGUUACUAACGACGAUAUGCUUUGGGGAGCUGUAAGUAAGCUUUGAUCCAGAGAUUUCCGAAUGGGGAAACCCAGCAUGAGUUAUGUCAUGUUAUCGAUAUGUGAAUACAUAGCAUAUCAGAAGGCACACCCGGAGAACUGAAACAUCUUAGUACCCGGAGGAAGAGAAAGAAAAUUCGAUUCCCUUAGUAGCGGCGAGCGAAACGGGAAGAGCCCAAACCAACAAGCUUGCUUGUUGGGGUUGUAGGACACUCUAUACGGAGUUACAAAGGACGAUAUUAGACGAAUCAUCUGGAAAGAUGAAUCAAAGAAGGUAAUAAUCCUGUAGUCGAAAAUGUUGUCUCUCUUGAGUGGAUCCUGAGUACGACGGAGCACGUGAAAUUCCGUCGGAAUCUGGGAGGACCAUCUCCUAAGGCUAAAUACUCUCUAGUGACCGAUAGUGAACCAGUACCGUGAGGGAAAGGUGAAAAGCACCCCGGAAGGGGAGUGAAAUAGAACCUGAAACCGUGUGCUUACAAGUAGUCAGAGCCCGUUAAUGGGUGAUGGCGUGCCUUUUGUAGAAUGAACCGGCGAGUUACGAUUUGAUGCAAGGUUAAGCAGUAAAUGUGGAGCCGUAGCGAAAGCGAGUCUGAAUAGGGCGUUUAGUAUUUGGUCGUAGACCCGAAACCAGGUGAUCUACCCUUGGUCAGGUUGAAGUUCAGGUAACACUGAAUGGAGGACCGAACCGACUUACGUUGAAAAGUGAGCGGAUGAACUGAGGGUAGCGGAGAAAUUCCAAUCGAACCUGGAGAUAGCUGGUUCUCUCCGAAAUAGCUUUAGGGCUAGCCUCAAGUGAUGAUUAUUGGAGGUAGAGCACUGUUUGGACGAGGGGCCCUUCUCGGGUUACCGAAUUCAGACAAACUCCGAAUGCCAAUUAAUUUAACUUGGGAGUCAGAACAUGGGUGAUAAGGUCCGUGUUCGAAAGGGAAACAGCCCAGACCACCAGCUAAGGUCCCAAAAUAUAUGUUAAGUGGAAAAGGAUGUGGCGUUGCCCAGACAACUAGGAUGUUGGCUUAGAAGCAGCCAUCAUUUAAAGAGUGCGUAAUAGCUCACUAGUCGAGUGACACUGCGCCGAAAAUGUACCGGGGCUAAACAUAUUACCGAAGCUGUGGAUUGUCCUUUGGACAAUGGUAGGAGAGCGUUCUAAGGGCGUUGAAGCAUGAUCGUAAGGACAUGUGGAGCGCUUAGAAGUGAGAAUGCCGGUGUGAGUAGCGAAAGACGGGUGAGAAUCCCGUCCACCGAUUGACUAAGGUUUCCAGAGGAAGGCUCGUCCGCUCUGGGUUAGUCGGGUCCUAAGCUGAGGCCGACAGGCGUAGGCGAUGGAUAACAGGUUGAUAUUCCUGUACCACCUAUAAUCGUUUUAAUCGAUGGGGGGACGCAGUAGGAUAGGCGAAGCGUGCGAUUGGAUUGCACGUCUAAGCAGUAAGGCUGAGUAUUAGGCAAAUCCGGUACUCAUUAAGGCUAAGCUGUGAUGGGGAGAAGACAUUGUGUCUUCGAGUCGUUGAUUUCACACUGCCGAGAAAAGCCUCUAGAUAGAAAAUAGGUGCCCGUACCGCAAACCGACACAGGUAGUCAAGAUGAGAAUUCUAAGGUGAGCGAGCGAACUCUCGUUAAGGAACUCGGCAAAAUGACCCCGUAACUUCGGGAGAAGGGGUGCUCUUUAGGGUUAACGCCCAGAAGAGCCGCAGUGAAUAGGCCCAAGCGACUGUUUAUCAAAAACACAGGUCUCUGCUAAACCGUAAGGUGAUGUAUAGGGGCUGACGCCUGCCCGGUGCUGGAAGGUUAAGAGGAGUGGUUAGCUUCUGCGAAGCUACGAAUCGAAGCCCCAGUAAACGGCGGCCGUAACUAUAACGGUCCUAAGGUAGCGAAAUUCCUUGUCGGGUAAGUUCCGACCCGCACGAAAGGCGUAACGAUUUGGGCACUGUCUCAACGAGAGACUCGGUGAAAUCAUAGUACCUGUGAAGAUGCAGGUUACCCGCGACAGGACGGAAAGACCCCGUGGAGCUUUACUGUAGCCUGAUAUUGAAAUUCGGCACAGCUUGUACAGGAUAGGUAGGAGCCUUUGAAACGUGAGCGCUAGCUUACGUGGAGGCGCUGGUGGGAUACUACCCUAGCUGUGUUGGCUUUCUAACCCGCACCACUUAUCGUGGUGGGAGACAGUGUCAGGCGGGCAGUUUGACUGGGGCGGUCGCCUCCUAAAAGGUAACGGAGGCGCUCAAAGGUUCCCUCAGAAUGGUUGGAAAUCAUUCAUAGAGUGUAAAGGCAUAAGGGAGCUUGACUGCGAGACCUACAAGUCGAGCAGGGUCGAAAGACGGACUUAGUGAUCCGGUGGUUCCGCAUGGAAGGGCCAUCGCUCAACGGAUAAAAGCUACCCCGGGGAUAACAGGCUUAUCUCCCCCAAGAGUUCACAUCGACGGGGAGGUUUGGCACCUCGAUGUCGGCUCAUCGCAUCCUGGGGCUGUAGUCGGUCCCAAGGGUUGGGCUGUUCGCCCAUUAAAGCGGUACGCGAGCUGGGUUCAGAACGUCGUGAGACAGUUCGGUCCCUAUCCGUCGUGGGCGUAGGAAAUUUGAGAGGAGCUGUCCUUAGUACGAGAGGACCGGGAUGGACAUACCUCUGGUGUACCAGUUGUCGUGCCAACGGCAUAGCUGGGUAGCUAUGUGUGGACGGGAUAAGUGCUGAAAGCAUCUAAGCAUGAAGCCCCCCUCAAGAUGAGAUUUCCCAACUUCGGUUAUAAGAUCCCUCAAAGAUGAUGAGGUUAAUAGGUUCGAGGUGGAAGCAUGGUGACAUGUGGAGCUGACGAAUACUAAUCGAUCGAAGACUUAAUCAAAUU
rnacentral:rRNA from 1 species